rnacentral:rRNA from 1 species
AUUCCAGCUCCAAUAGCGUAUAUUUAAGUUGCUGCAGUUAAAAAGCUCGUAGUUGGAUUUCGGGUGGGAAUGGCCGGUCCGCCGUUUCGGUGUGCACUUGCUAGUCCCACCUUGCUGCCGGGGACGUGCUCUUGGGUUUCGGCUCGGGACACGGAGUCGGCGAGGUUACUUUGAGUAAAUUAGAGUGUUCAAAGCAGGCUUAUGCCGUGAAUACAUUAGCAUGGAAUAAUAAGAUAGGACUUUGGUUCUAUUUUGUUGGUUGGAGGCCAAGGUAAUGAUUAAUAGGGAUAGUUGGGGGUAUUCAUAUUUAAUUGUCAGAGGUGAAAUUCUUGGAUUUAUGAAAGAUGAACUUAUGCGAAAGCAUUUACCAAGGAUGUUUUCAUUG